rnacentral:rRNA from 1 species
UACGUAGGGUGCGAGCGUUAAUCGGAAUUACUGGGCGUAAAGCGCACGUAGGCGGCUUUGCAAGUCAGAGGUGAAAGCCCGGGGCUCAACCCCGGAAUUGCCUUUGAGACUGCAUCGCUAGAAUUGUGGAGAGGUAAGUGGAAUUCCGAGUGUAGAGGUGAAAUUCGUAGAUAUUCGGAAGAACACCAAUGGCGAAGGCACCCUACUGGGCCACUACUGACACUGAGAGACGAAAGCUAGGGGAGCAAAUGGG